CGUUGGAGAGUAAAGUUGAUGAAAAAAGAACGAAAAUGGAUAAAAAAUCAAAAGUAGUUAGUAACAAAAAGCAACUAGCGCGAUUAGUGGAGUUGAU